UACACUCCUGCGGGAGGCAGCAGUGGGGAAUAUUGCACAAUGGGCGCAAGCCUGAUGCAGCCAUGCCGCGUGUAUGAAGAAGGCCUUCGGGUUGUAAAGUACUUUCAGCGGGGAGGAAGGCAAUACGGUUAAUAACCGUGUUGAUUGACGUUACCCGCAGAAGAAGCACCGGCUAACUCCGUGCCAGCAGCCGCGGUAAUACGGAGGGUGCAAGCGUUAAUCGGAAUUACUGGGCGUAAAGCGCACGCAGGCGGUCUGUCAAGUCGGAUGUGAAAUCCCCGGGCUCAACCUGGGAACUGCAUUCGAAACUGGCAGGCUUGAGUCUUGUAGAGGGGGGUAGAAUUCCAGGUGUAGCGGUGAAAUGCGUAGAGAUCUGGAGGAAUACCGGUGGCGAAGGCGGCCCCCUGGACAAAGACUGACGCUCAGGUGCGAAAGCGUGGGGAGCAAACAGGAUUAGAAACCCGUGUAGUCCC
rnacentral:rRNA from 1 species